rnacentral:misc_RNA from 1 species
GUGGAAGGUUCAGGGGAUUGAAGCUCGGGCUUGAUGACGAUGGACCGGAGGAGGAUGAGGUUUCUAGGGUUGGGGUGGGGUCUGAGUACUCUGGAAGCUAAUAACCCUAGCCCCAUUAGAAGAAGUGGCACUGUACUGGCGAUUGAAAAUUGAAGAGGCCUCUGUUAAGAAGAUCUACAGAGAAAUGCUUGAGCUUUUGAGCUCUGAGGGAGCGAAAGAGGAGAACAGAUGAAAUGCAGGCGUGUGGCCGCA